rnacentral:rRNA from 1 species
UACGUAGGGUGCAAGCGUUAAUCGGAAUUACUGGGCGUAAAGCGUGCGCAGGCGGUUUUGUAAGUCUGACGUGAAAUCCCCGGGCUUAACCUGGGAAUUGCGUUGGAGACUGCAAGGCUGGAGCCUGGCAGAGGGGGGUAGAAUUCCACGUGUAGCAGUGAAAUGCGUAGAGAUGUGGAGGAACACCGAUGGCGAAGGCAGCCCCCUGGGUCAAGACUGACGCUCAUGCACGAAAGCGUGGGGAGCAAACAGG